rnacentral:lncRNA from 1 species
CAACAACUCACCAACCGCUGCCGCUGCAGUCUGCUGCGCCUCUACUGAGGUGACUCUGCUCUCCCACUGGGCUUCAAUUCUCAACAAGCCUCGAAAAGGCCCUCUCUCUGCUGUUCACCACUGCACCAGUUCCUGGGCUCAGAACGAUAGCCUUCGGGAUCCCUGCGCCGUGCUGCUGUCCGGGCGGGGCUCCCGCUGCGGCCUGCGCGCAGGCGCACCGGGUGUUCCUGGGGCCUCUGACUGGGGCCUCUGACUGGGGCCUUCGCUCUCCUGUUUCUGGCUUCCCCGUCGGCCUCUCUGGCUGGGGCCUGCGCGCCCUUAAGACUGGUGUCCCCUCGGGCCUCUACCUGGGGCCUCUACUGGGGCUUCUGACUGGGGCCUCUGCGCCUGCGCUGAUGAUUCACUCGGGUGACUCUACAGAGACCUUCGAGGCCUUCAACAUUGAACUGGUGCAGCAUCCUUGAUCGCUCUUGUCCUACAGCUUCCAUCUUGGGCUGAGAAGCUUCUGGACCCUCUGGCUCACCACCAUGCAGGCAGGAGGAAAAGUGGUUACAAAGCAGGCUGGCUGAAAAACAAAACAAAACAGAAAAGAAACAAGAUGUAUCAUGCACAUGUACCCACUCCCCAAGAUGAUUGUAAAUUAUAGCACUACAA